AUUGAACGAGGGGGGAAGGAAGAACAGAGGCAAGUCGAGCGGAUGAAGGGAGCUUGCUCCUGGAUUCAGCGGCGGACGGGUGAGUAAUGCCUAGGAAUCUGCCUGGUAGUGGGGGAUAACGUCCGGAAACGGGCGCUAAUACCGCAUACGUCCUGAGGGAGAAAGUGGGGGAUCUUCGGACCUCACGCUAUCAGAUGAGCCUAGGUCGGAUUAGCUAGUUGGUGGGGUAAAGGCCUACCAAGGCGACGAUCCGGAAGGGGUCUGAGAGGAUGAUCAGUCACGUGGGAACUGAGAUAGCGUCCAGACUACUGGCUGAGGCAGCAGUGGGGAAUAUUGGACAAUGGGCGAAAGCCUGAUCCAGCCAUGCCGCGUGUGUGAAGAAGGUCUUCGGAUUGUAACUCCCUUUCAGUUGGGAGGAAGGGCAGUAAGUUAAUACCUUGCUGUUUUGACGUUACCAACAGACGAAGACCCUCCUCCCUUCGUC
rnacentral:rRNA from 1 species